UACAGAGGGUGCGAGCGUUAAUCGGAAUUACUGGGCGUAAAGCGCACGUAGGUGGCGACGUAAGUCGGGUGUGAAAGCCCCCGGCUCAACCGGGGAGGGUGGCUGGAAACUGGCGUUCUUGAGGGCGAGAGAGGAGGGUGGAAUUCCUGGUGUAGCGGUGAAAUGCGUAGAGAUCAGGAGGAACACCCGGGGCGAAGGCGGCCCUCUGGCUCGACCCUGACGCUGAGGCGCGAAAGCGUGGGGAGCGAACGGG
rnacentral:rRNA from 1 species